CACCAGCAUCUGAUGAAGCUGCCAGCAUGAUCUAAACUUCUCUCUCUCGCUCUAGAUUUGAUCAGGGAAGAUCAGAUCAUGUGGUAGUUUCACCAGGUGAUUAU
rnacentral:pre_miRNA from 1 species